GACGAGGCACUUCUAACUACUGUGCAAUUACAUCGAAAAGAUCUGUUCCCACUUUUUGCGGCCGCAAUGAGUGCCAAAAAAUAUUUCGAAAGUCAAAUUGGAGGGUCCUAUACAUCCUUCUUAUAUUUCUACCCAGCAGGAUUUUAUCCCAGUUUAACUUUGCAUUUUGCACAUGAAACGGUGUACGAUAAAACUUCAGCAGGAACACUAACAACUGCUCGUGCCAUCUGGGAAGGCCAAGCUCAGGAGUCAAAGUGGAUAAGUAUUCUGCAAAAUAUUUGGCUAGGGAGCUGCUACACGGUGGAUCCAGAAACUAAUGUAAAUCCACCGCAUAUCGAUGUAAGAUUAUAUUUUUGCACUAUUAAUGCUAGCUCAGAUUCAUCGAUUUAUUGUCUGAGAGCACAGACGCAUUUCAUACAAGUUUAUCACUUUUAGCAAAAACAGUCUGACAUGAAUUCCCUCGUCAUGCCAUGCUCAAAUGUGGAUGAAAUGGACACCAAUGCAGACGCACUUGUGAGAAAUAUUGCAACAUAUUUAUAAAUAGCAGCGACCGCGGAUGUUGUGGGGGACAUCGUGAAAUUGUUAUUGUAGUAACAAGCUCAUGUACGUUUUUGUUCUGAUCAAUACAGGAGGAUGGUGAUGGAGAUGAUGAACGUGGGCACUGUGGACAACGUGAAGAGUUAGGGGAAGGGUCAGCUCCUGGCGGUGAAUCACCAAUGGACACUUCAAAUACAGAGUAUGCAUCCAAGAGUACAGAAGGUGAAGAUACAUGUGUGGGAACAGACAUUUACCCAACGGCCCCUUACAAAGGGGGAUGUAGGAUGAUUUUGAACGAAUUUGCAACCAAGAAUGAUGAUAACCAGAUUUCGUUUAUUGAACAUGUUCGUAUUUGCCAAAAGGCGCUCGUCCUCCAAAAACUAAUUCACUUAACGGAUUCGUUGAAAUAAUCCUUGUGGGCGGGAUGACUAUCCACCAAGUAAUGUACGCAUCUUUCCAGAACAAGAUCUUCUCAAUCAUACAAGAGAAACAAACUACGCAACGCAAAAUAAAAAAUUUCUACUUUGUCCUCGGAUCGAAACAAGUUGCACCAGAUAUGUUGUUUUCUGACAGCCAGAUUACUAGUGACCAUCUCGAAGGAAUCUUACCUGCCGAGUCAUUGACGUACUGCAUAAUUUUACUUCACUUCGGACACAAUCAAGGGCAAUUUCAUCAAGCAGUUCAAUCUUUUUCACUAAUCCAAAAUGUUCCACCCGGCAGUGACACGGUAGGCUAUCUCCCAACCCCCAUAAACGACGAAAAGAUGAACCUUAUAAACGAGUUCAUUCAAGAUGUCCUAAUUGUUGGUCCUCCUUGUCCGGAUUCUGAGUGUGGAUAUUUCUAUUCCCUUCUCAGAGCUAAAGAACAGGUAUUGGGGGAAGGUGAAAUGCGAAUUCCUUUAUCUGAUGUUCCUAGACGGAAUGAUGGAACCAAACCUUACCUUAGUCUUUCGAGGUGCAGUCCUACGAGUUUUCCUAUGCAACAAUUAGCCUUUGAAAUUGAGAAAGCAACACCGAAAGCGAAAAACGACUGUAAACAACCAAAUACUAAACUCCCAUUCCAACUACUUGGUGUUUCACUACAGGCGACAGCUCAAAAGUUAAUUGUCAACGCCAAAGUAUUCUUUGACAGUAACCAGGUACAGUGUGAAAUACUAACAGGAAACUCUGUCACCAAAACUAGCCAGAUUCUAGGAAUUGGAGAGAGAACAGUUUAUCAGACAAUGGAGAAUUACAAAACGAAUAGUAUAAAAACACCUGGUAAGAAACGUAUUAGACCAACGCCAGUGAUGGAUCAGUUUGACGACUUCCGAACUGAGCACGUUAAACGAAUCAUUCAUCAAUUCUAUGCUAAUAAUCAAGCACCAACAAUGCAUAACGUAUACACAAAACUGAUGGAGGAAGUCAAGGAAGAAGAAGAUGGUCGGAUAGCCCGAGGAGAAACUCUUACAGCGUUCAAAUGUUCCAAGUGGACGUUAAGAAAACUCAUUAAGCAAUUAGGAUUUAGAUUCAAAACUGUUGAUAAGCGAGCAGUUAUCCUCAUGAGAUCAGACAUCGUGCAGAAGCGAUAUGAAUAUCUGUCCGUAAUGAUUAAAAAUCGUCAGUCCGAGAACCCAAAAUGUGUUGUCUACACAGAUGAAACGUGGGUCGAUAGUUAUGCUAGAACUGGAAAAGGCUGGGUUAUUAAUUCACCAAAGUCAUUUCAUGAAGCGGCUUUAUACUCCUUCCAAAACCCGAAAAUUUCUAGAGGACCACGUAUCAUUGUGAUGCAUGCAGGUGGAGAGGAUGGAUUCGUACCUGGCGCUAUGAAGGUAUAUCCAGUAUCAAAGAAGAAAGUCCAGAUGGAUUACCACGCAAACGUUAACGGUGUCGCUUACAUGGCUUGGUGGAAGGAUCUUAAUCAAAAGAUAAAAGAUAAUUAUGGUCCAUGCAUAAUUGUUAUUGAUAACGCUCCGUAUCACAGCACCAAGGAAGCCCCAAAAUCUACAUCCCGAAAACAAGAGCUAUACGACUGGCUGAAUGAUAAUUUAGAGGGCCCUGAAAAGCUGAAACUAAAACCUGUAAAGCAAAUGAGACGACCUGAAUUAUGGAAAAUGGUUUAAGACCUUAAAAACGGAAAUGAAUAUUACAUUGUGGAUAAGGAGGCAUUGAAAUAUGGAAACACUGUUGUCCGGUAAAGUUAUUUUCUAUUCAUGGGUAAUUUACUAAUAAUUUGUAAUAUUUAUUUAAACACUGUAUUUACGUAUUUUCCAGAUUACCCCCAUAUAACUGGUAAGAACUGGUAAUCAUAGGUAACGGUAAUAAGAAUAUUCAUGUAAUAACUAUUUUUAGCGACUUGAACCCAAUUGAGUACGUGUGGAAAGACAUCAAGCACGCAGUUAGGGCUGCAAACACACAGGGGACCGCUGAGUUUGCACAAGCUGAGGCUGAGAGAAUUAUGACAACAUACACAAAGGAACAAUGGCAGAAACACAUCAAACAUGUGCACCGAUUGGAGGACGAGUAUUGGAAAAAUGAUGGACAUUUUGAUGACUUCCUUGAUGACUUCCAAACACGUGUAGCUUCAGCCAACCCCAUUCGAGUGAGUUCUUGGUGACAGUAAACUAUUAGUAAAAAAAUACAUAACUUAUACAUAAUAUACAGAUUACAGCAGCAGAUGAUGUGUCUGACGACGAAGAUGAGGACCCUGACGAUGUUGACGAAGUAGUUGAUAGAUUCCGAAUGCAAAUACACAAUGAUAUUGAAUACUCACAGGCUGGGGAAGAAGAAGACUUGCCUGAAGAAGAAUGUGCAACUUCUAGGAGGAGAUUAACCUUCCCACCAGAAUCAACCUAGAUUUUAACUUCAAUGGAUUCAAUACAUAAUAAAUAUUAUAAAUAGUGAAUCCGAUUUGUACAUAGUGUUAAGAAUUAUUAUUCAUUAAAUUUGUACGAAAUUUUCAAAAAUAUGCCUACCCCUCUCUACUUAACAUUCUUGCAAAACUGAAAACUUUAAAAUAAUGUCCCGUUUAGUAAAAUACAAUAAGUUAUUAUUUGACCCUUCAGGGGCCCUUAACUCUUGACCUAUACGUCACAAAAACCAAAAAAUAUUUUUCUGAUUC